rnacentral:rRNA from 1 species
AUUGAACGCUGGCGGCAGGCCUAACACAUGCAAGUCGAGCGGAUGAAGGGAGCUUGCUCCUGGAUUCAGCGGCGGACGGGUGAGUAAUGCCUAGGAAUCUGCCUGGUAGUGGGGGCUAACGUCCGGAAACGGGCGCUAAUACCGCAUACGUCCUGAGGGAGAAAGUGGGGGAUCUUCGGACCUCACGCGAUCAGAUGAGCCUAGGUCGGAUUAGCUAGUUGGAGGGGUAAGGGCCUACCAAGGCGACGAUCCGUAACUGGUCUGAGAGGAUGAUCAGGCACACUGGAACUGAGACACGGUCCAGACUCCUACGGGAGGCAGCAGUGGGGAAUAUUGGACAAUGGGCGAAAGCCUGAUCCAGCCAUGCCGCGUGUGUGAAGAAGGUCUUCGGAUUGUAAAGCACUUUAAGUUGGGAGGAAGGACAGUAAGUUAAUCCCUUGCUGUUUUGACGUUACCAACAGAAUAAGCACCGGCUAACUUCGUG